rnacentral:rRNA from 1 species
AGGGUUUGAUCAUGGCUCAGAACGAACGCUGGCGGCGUGCUUAACACAUGCAAGUCGAGUGCGCGGUUGUAGCAAUACAACUGGCGCACGGCGCACGGGUGCGUAACACGUGGGCAAUCUGCCCUUCGAUGGGGAAUAACUCCGGGAAACCGAAGCUAAUUCCGCAUAACAUUCCUUGGACCUCGGUUCGAGGACUCAAAGCCGUAAGGCGUCGAAGGAGGAGCCCGCGCACGAUUAGCUAGUUGGUAGGGUAACGGCCUACCAAGGCUUUGAUCGUUAGCUGGUCUGAGAGGAUGGCCAGCCACACUGGAACUGAGACACGGUCCAGACUCCUACGGGAGGCAGCAGUGGGGAAUCUUGCACAAUGGGCGAAAGCCUGAUGCAGCGACGCCGCGUGGGGGAUGAAGCAUUUCGGUGUGUAAACCCCUUUCGACCCGGACGAAUGCCUCGCAAGAGGAGUGACGGUACGGGUAUAAGAAGCCCCGGCUAACUACGUGCCAGCAGCCGCGGUAAGACGUAGGGGGCCAGCGCUGUUCGGAAUUACUGGGUGUAAAGGGUUCGUAGGCGGUGUGGCAAGUUGGGAGUGAAAUCUCUGGGCUCAACCCAGAGGCUGCUUCCAAAACUGCUGUGCUUGAGUGUGGGAGAGGCGCGUGGAAUUGCAGGUGUAGCGGUGAAAUGCGUAGAUAUCUGCAGGAACACCCGUGGCGAAAGCGGCGCGCUGGACCACAACUGACGCUGAGGAACGAAAGCUAGGGGAGCAAACAGGAUUAGAUACCCUAGUAGUCC